AGAGUUUGAUCCUGGCUCAGGAUGAACGCCGGCGGUGUGCCUAAUACAUGCAAGUCGUACGCACUGGCCCAACUGAUUGAUGGUGCUUGCACCUGAUUGACGUUGGAUCACCAGUGAGUGGCGGACGGGUGAGUAACACGUAGGUAACCUGCCCCGGAGCGGGGGAUAACAUUUGGAAACAGAUGCUAAUACCGCAUAACAACAAAAGCCGCAUGGCUUUUGUUUGAAAGAUGGCUUUGGCUAUCACUCUGGGAUGGACCUGCGGUGCAUUAGCUAGUUGGUAAGGUAACGGCUUACCAAGGCGAUGAUGCAUAGCCGAGUUGAUAGACUGAUCGGCCACAAUGGAACUGAGACACGGUCCAUACUCCUACGGGAGGCAGCAGUAGGGAAUCUUCCACAAUGGGCGCAAGCCUGAUGGAGCAACACCGCGUGAGUGAAGAAGGGUUUCGGCUCGUAAAGCUCUGUUGUUGGAGAAGAACGUGCGUGAGAGUAGCUGUUUACGCAGUGACGGUAUCCAACCAGAAAGUCACGGCUAACUACGUGCCAGCAGCCGCGGUAAUACGUAGGUGGCAAGCGUUAUCCGGAUUUAUUGGGCGUAAAGCGAGCGCAGGCGGUUGCUUAGGUCUGAUGUGAAAGCCUUCGGCUUAACCGAAGAAGUGCAUCGGAAACCGGGCGACUUGAGUGCAGAAGAGGACAGUGGAACUCCAUGUGUGUGCAGUUGGCAGGGGUGGAUAUAUGGGAAGAACGCCAGCGGAGAAAGAGGGGGUGUCUGGUUUGCAAAUGACGCUGAGGCUGGAAAGCAUAGGGUAGCGAACAGAAUUAGAUACCCUGGUGGUGCAUGCCGAAGACGAAGAAGUGCUGGGUGUUGGAGGGUUUCCGCCUUUCAGUGCCGGAGCUAACGCUUUAAGCAUUCCGCCUGGGGAGUACGACCGCAAGAUUGAAACUUCAAAGGAAUUGACGGGGGCCCGCACAAGCGGGGGAGCAUGUGGUUUAAUUGGAAGCUACGCGAAGAACCUUACCAGGUCUUGACAUCUUGCGCUAACCUUAGAGAUAAGGCGUUCCCUUCGGGGACGCAAUGACAGGUGGUGCAUGGUCGUCGUCAGCUCGUGUCGUGAGAUGUUGGGUUAAGUCCCGCAACGAGCGCAACCCUUGUUACUAGUUGCCAGCAUUAAGUUGGGCACUCUAGUGAGACUGCCGGUGACAAACCGGAGGAAGGUGGGGACGACGUCAGAUCAUCAUGCCCCUUAUGACCUGGGCUACACACGUGCUACAAUGGACGGUACAACGAGUCGCAAGCUCGCGAGAGUAAGCUAAUCUCUUAAAGCCGUUCUCAGUUCGGACUGUAGGCUGCAACUCGCCUACACGAAGUCGGAAUCGCUAGUAAUCGCGGAUCAGCAUGCCGCGGUGAAUACGUUCCCGGGCCUUGUACACACCGCCCGUCA
rnacentral:rRNA from 1 species